AAUCCCGGGAUGAGCCUGCGGGUAAAAGAUUAAUUGCCUAGAGAGGAGCUCGCGUCUGAUUAGCUAGUUGGUGAGGUAAAAGCUCACCAAGGCGACGAUCAGUAGCUGUUCUGAGAGGAAGAACAGCCACACUGGGACUGAGACACGGCCCAGACUCCUACGGGAGGCAGCAGUGGGGAAUUUUCCGCAAUGGGCGAAAGCCUGACGGAGCAAUACCGCGUGAGGGAAGAAGGCCUUUGGGUCGUAAACCUCUUUUCUCAGGGAAGAAGUUCUGACGGUACCUGAGGAAAAAGCCUCGGCUAACUCCGUGCCAGCAGCCGCGGUAAUACGGAGGAGGCAAGCGUUAUCCGGAAUUAUUGGGCGUAAAGCGUCCGUAGGUGGCCUUUCAAGUCUGCGGUUAAAAACUAGAGCUCAACUCUGGGUCAGCCGUGGAAACUGAGAAGCUAGAGUACAGUAGGGGUAGAGGGAAUUCCCAGUGUAGCGGUGAAAUGCGUAGAGAUUGGGAAGAACACCGGUGGCGAAAGCGCUCUACUGGGCUUGUACUGACACUGAGGGACGAAAGCUAGGGGAGCAAAAGGGAUUAGAUACCCCUGUAGUCCUAGCCGUAAACGAUGGAAACUAGGCGUAGCCUGUAUCAACUCAGGCUGUGCCGAAGCUAACGCGUUAAGUUUCCCGCCUGGGGAGUACGCACGCAAGUGUGAAACUCAAAGGAAUUGACGGGGGCCCGCACAAGCGGUGGAGUAUGUGGUUUAAUUCGAUGCAACGCGAAGAACCUUACCAGGGCUUGACAUCCCGCGAAUCCUGCUGAAAGGUAGGAGUGCCUAAGGGAACGCGGAGACAGGUGGUGCAUGGCUGUCGUCMSCUCGYGUCGUGAGAUGUUGGGUUAAGUCCCGCAACGAGCGCAACCCUCGUCCUUAGUUGCCAUCAUUAAGUUGGGAACUCUAGGGAGACUGCCGGGGACAACUCGGAGGAAGGUGGGGAUGACGUCAAGUCAGCAUGCCCCUUACGUCCUGGGCUACACACGUACUACAAUGGUUGAGACAAAGGGCAGCAGAACUCGCGAGAGCCA
rnacentral:rRNA from 1 species